CCUGGCUCAGAUUGAACGCUGGCGGCACGCUUAACACAUGCAAGUCGAACGGCAGCACGGAGUGGAUUUAUCUACUUGGGUGGCGAGUGGCGAACGGGUGAGUAAUACGUAGGAAUAUGCCUUGAAGACUGGGAUAGCCUUGGGAAACUGAGGGUAAUACCGGAUAAGCUCUGAGGAGGAAAGCUGGGGACCGUAAGGCCUGGCGCUUUAAGAUUAGCCU
rnacentral:rRNA from 1 species